rnacentral:rRNA from 1 species
GAUGAACGCUGGCGGCGUGCUUAACACAUGCAAGUCGAACGGAAAGGCUCCUGCUUGCAGGGGUACUCGAGUGGCGAACGGGUGAGUAACACGUGGGUGAUCUGCCCUGCACUUCGGGAUAAGCCUGGGAAACUGGGUCUAAUACCGGAUAGGACGAUGAUUUGGAUGCCAUUGUGGAAAGUUUUUCGGUGUGGGAUGAGCUCGCGGCCUAUCAGCUUGUUGGUGGGGUAAUGGCCUACCAAGGCGUCGACGGGUAGCCGGCCUGAGAGGGUGUACGGCCACAUUGGGACUGAGAUACGGCCCAGACUCCUACGGGAGGCAGCAGUGGGGAAUAUUGCACAAUGGGCGCAAGCCUGAUGCAGCGACGCCGCGUGGGGGAUGACGGCCUUCGGGUUGUAAACUCCAUUCGCUAGGGACGAAGCGCAAGUGACGGUACCUGGAGAAGAAGCACCGGCUAACUACGUG